AAUAGCAAAUGCAUCAUUGAGUGCAGCGUUGAUGAUUUCAGUGUAUUGAUGUUGUUAGCUUAUAAUUCUCUUACAUUUAGUCGUCAAUGCUGCACUUGAUAAUGUGUUUGAUUACUGAAAAGGCUGAAGUGGAGCUUACAAUCAAAUGGGAAGAAAAGCCUUUUUGAUAUGAUAUUCUGGUGGAAUCUGACCUUGAAAAAGGAAAUGGGUUCGAAAAGACUAAAAUCUUUUACAUCAAGAAUGACAACAAGGCACGUGAAAUUGAUUUCAAUGUUAUUUUGAUUAAGAUAAACAUUUUUGAUUGAAAUUAAUUUCGAAAAGAUUCCAAAAUCUUUUACAUCAAGAAUAACAAGAAGAAAUAUGCAACAAAGAAAUGGGUCACAAGCUUCAAAGGGGACAGCAAGGACCUGCAAGGUUUCAACGUUGUUACAGAUUGAACAACUUGAAUAAUGGAGUUUAUUGAGGAAAUGAACACAAAAAGCAUACAAGUGAUGCUGUAAGUUACCUCAAGUUUUUGUUUAAGCCAUCAGUAAUUUACAAGAUUGCAACAGUUUUUGAUGUGUCUAUUGACAGGGACUCAUCUAUAUAAGGAUUGAGGAAUAUAUCACUGUGAACAGUGGAGUUUUUCUGCAAUAUCACAGAAGUUUUAUGUUGGGUUUUCACUGAAUUAGAAUUAUUUCACCAGAAAUUUAGGAGUAGGGAUGUUAUCAACCUAACAAUGGGUUGAGAAUAUUGUGUAAAGAUCAAGUUUAGGAGUAGGGAUGUUAUCAGUUGGUUUCAUUUCAAUAUCAAGAGGUUUUCCAAUUUCUUAACCAUCUUGAUUAAUGUAUAUCACCGUUUUUCUGUAUAAUUUUCUUUUUAUU